rnacentral:rRNA from 1 species
AGAGUUUGAUCCUGGCUCAGGAUGAACGCUGGCGGCGUGCCUAAUACAUGCAAGUCGAACGAAGCACCUCGGUGCUUAGUGGCGAACGGGUGAGUAACACGUGGGUAACCUGCCCUCAAGACGAGGAUAACCGUUGGAAACGAUGGCUAAGACUGGAUAGGAAUACGGGAGGCAUCUUCUGUAUUUUAAAAGACCUGGCAACAGGUAUGCUUGAGGAGGGGCCUGCGGCGCAUUAGUUAGUUGGUGAGGUGAUGGCUCACCAAGACGAUGAUGCGUAGCCGGACUGAGAGGUUGAACGGCCACAUUGGGACUGAGAGACGGCCCAAACUCCUACGGGAGGCAGCAGUAGGGAAUAUUGGGCAAUGGGCGAAAGCCCUGACCCAGCAACGCCGCGUGAAGGAAGAAGGUCUUCGGAUUGUAAACUUCUUUAUGAGGGACGAAGGACGUGACGGUACCUCAUGAAUAAGCCACGGCUAACUACGUGCCAGCAGCCGC